GAUGAAGAACGUAGUGAAAUGCGAUAGGUAAUGUGAAUUGCAGAAUUCAGUGAAUCAUCGAAUCUUUGAACGCAUAUUGCGCCCUUUGGUAUUCCGAAGGGCAUGCCUGUUCGAGCGUCAUUAUCACCCCUCAAGCCCCGGCUUGGUGUUGGACUUAGUUACGGAUCACCAUAACUGGCCUCAAAGAUAGUGGCGGCGCCCCAGAGGGAACCGGUACGAGGAGCUUCCAGUUAAGCAUGUACGCGGGACGACUUUGCGGGCGACGGUCUUUUUCAUUUCUCAAGUGUUGACCUCGGAUCAGGUAGGAAUACCCGCUGAACUUAAGCAUAUCAAUAAGCGGAGGA
rnacentral:misc_RNA from 1 species